AUCCUUUUCUGUUCAUGAGCAUGGUGAUUGGGCGUUCGCGCUGUUGUGUGAGAUGUGUCUUCCUCUGGACCUUGUUACAACAUUGACACAUUGGCGCGUUACCUGUCUGAUG
rnacentral:snoRNA from 1 species